GUGGAAGAAGGCAGUGAUGUUAUUUUACCCUGUUCCCUCUGGACCAAGAAGGACCUUUGGUCAACACGGUUUGUCUGGCGUAAAACUGAUGAUGAUCAGAUGGUGUUCCUGUAUGAUAAUGGUGAUCUUUACAGUGACGAGCUUCCAAGUUGGAAGUUCAAAGGUCGAGUCUCACAUUUUCCAGAUAAACUGGAACAAGGCAACGCCUCCAUAAUCAUCAGAAAUACAACGAGGGCUGACAGUGGAGACUACAGAUGUAUGUUUCCAUUAAUUCAGAAACCUCAAAAAUUCUAAAUUUCAAAAAGCUUCAUGUUGAGCCAAAAGUCAUCAAAGUGGAAGAAGGCAGUGAUGCUAUUUUACCCUGUUCCCUCAGCACCAAGGAGACCAUUGAGUUGACACAGUUUGUCUGGAAGAAAGUUUCCCAGAAAACUGAUGAUGGUCAGAAGGUGUUCCUGUAUGAUAAUGGUGAUCUUUACAGUGACGAGCGUCCAGGUCAGAGUGAGCAGUUCAAAGGUCGAGUCUCACAUUUUCCAGAUGAACUGAAACAAGGCAACGCCUCCAUAACCAUCAGAAAUACGACGAGGGCUGACAGUGGACACUACAGAUGUAAAUUUCCAUUCAUUCAGAAACUUCAAAAAAUCUACAUUAAGCUUGAUGUUGGUGAGUAGUUAGUUCAACUCCAGAGCCAAAUGAACUUGAUCCAUUAAUGAAUGGAAUGGAUGGAAUUGAACUUCAUUCAUUAAUGAUAGAAAGGCAUUGAUAAUGUCUGUGUUGCUGGAAACAUUUAUUUAGUUUUCAGUUAUUUUAUGCUUGUGUUAUAUCACAAUGAAUAGGUUCAUUGAUUUUGUCUUGCAGUUCUAGUUGAUUGUGUAAUUGU